CCUGAAGCUCAAGGUACCAGGCUUUGCAGCCAGACUCUGCAUCCCCUCCCAGCUCUGCUGCUCACUCCCUGUGCAGGAGGCCACUUUCAACUCAGGCUCAGUCCUGGCAGGGUCUCCCUGAAGUCCUGCCCCCUGCUGCUCUGGACGGAAACCCCUGACUCCUGAACAGGGCCAUUACCUUCAAAGCCCAUAGCAAGCACUCCAUGAAGCCUCCACCCCUGUGGGAUCAAUGUCCCUCUCCUGCCCAGGACAUCCAGAACAUCUUGUCUGCCAGAAAUCAGCAUGCUUGGGCUGUAACAUUCA